UCAAUAAAUAUAGAAUAUAGUUUACUGUAUAUACUAUUAGUAUAGACUAUAUACACAUAAUUUGUAUUAACAAUAAUGUCACGUGUACCUUGGUGGUGGGCCACACAGUAAAUACUUAUUUACCAGUUAUUCUUUUAUCCUAAAUUACCAUCGUCCACAUCUACAGUUUUACUUUUAUCUUAACUUUCGGAGGUCACUCUCCUUCACGAAAAGCCCAUGGAAUCCGUACGGAACCCGCC
rnacentral:lncRNA from 1 species